rnacentral:rRNA from 1 species
AUUGAACGCUGGCGGCAUGCCUUACACAUGCAAGUCGAACGGUAACGGGCCUUCGGGUGCCGGCGAGUGGCGGGCGGGGGCGUAAUACAUAGGAACGUGCCCGAUCGUGGGGGAUAACGAGGCGAAAGCUGUGCUAAUACCGCAUACGAUCUACGGAUGAGAGCAGGAGACCGCAAGGCCUUGCGCGGACGGAGCGGCCGAUGGCAGAUUGGGUAGUUGGUGGGGUAAAAGCUUACCAAGCCGACGAUCUGUAGCUGGACUGAGAGGAUGAUCAGCCACACUGGAACUGAGACACGGCCCAGACUCCUACGGGAGGCAGCAGUGGGGAAUUUUCGACAAUGGGCGCAAGCCUGAUCCAGCCAUGCCGCGUGCAUGAUGAAGGCCUUCGGGUUGUAAACUGCUUUUGUACGGAACGAAAAGCCUUCUUUUAAUACAGGAGGGUCAUGACGGUACCGUAAGAAUAAGCACCGGCUAACUACGUG